UUAAUUGAAGCCAAAAAGAGGUAAAUUAUUGUUAAUAAUUUAAAUGAAUAAUUUUUUUCCAAUUAAA
rnacentral:tRNA from 1 species